rnacentral:rRNA from 1 species
CUCAGGAUGAACGCUAGCGGCAGGCCUAAUACAUGCAAGUCGAGGGGUAACAUGGUCUUCGGACUGAUGACGACCGGCGGACGGGUGCGUAACGCGUAUGCAACCUACCCAUUACAGGAGGAUAGCCCGGGGAAACCGGAUUAUACCCCAUAAAGCAGGGGACUCGCCUGGGUCUAUUUGCUAAAGCUCCGAUACUAUCGGUGCGGUAAUGGAUGGGCAUGCGUCUGAUUAGUUAGUUGGUGAGGUAACGGCUCACCAAGGCGACGAUCAGUAGGGGUUCUGAGAGGAUGAUCCCCCACACUGGCACUGAGAUACGGGCCAGACUCCUACGGGAGGCAGCAGUAGGGAAUAUUGGUCAAUGGGCGAGAGCCUGAACCAGCCAUGCCGCGUGCAGGAAGACGGCCUUCUGGGUUGUAAACUGCUUUUCUACGGGGGUAAAAAUGUCUUGCGAGACAAAUUGUAAGUACCGUAGGAAUAAGCACCGGCUAACUCCGUGCCAGCAGCCGCGGUAAUACGGAGGGUGCAAGCGUUGUCCGGAUUUAUUGGGUUUAAAGGGUGCGUAGGCGGGCAAUUAAGUCAGUGGUGAAAGGCUACAGCUCAACUGUGGAAUUGCCAUUGAUACUGAUUGUCUUGAGUGCAGUUGAGGUGGGCGGAAUUUACGGUGUAGCGGUGAAAUGCAUAGAUACCGUAAAGAACGUCGAUAGCGAAGGCAGCUCACUAAGCUGUAACUGACGCUGAUGCACGAAAGCAUGGGGAGCGAACAGGAUUAGAUACCCUGGUAGUCCAUGCUGUAAACGAUGAUCACUCGCUGUUGACUUUAGUGGUCAGUGGCUUAGCGAGAGCGUUAAGUGAUCCACCUGGGGAGUACGUCCGCAAGGAUGAAACUCAAAGGAAUUGACGGGGGUCCGCACAAACGGUGGAGCAUGUGGUUUAAUUCGAUGAUACGCGAGGAACCUUACCUGGGCUCGAAUGGUAGGUGACGUUCGCCGAAAGGCGAAUUCCUUCGGGCGCCUAUCAAGGUGCUGCAUGGCUGUCGUCAGCUCGUGCCGUGAGGUGUUGGGUUAAGUCCCGCAACGAGCGCAACCCUUAUUCUUAGUUGCCAACAGUGCAAGCUGGGGACUCUAAGGAGACUGCCUGCGCAAGCAGAGAGGAAGGAGGGGAUGACGUCAAGUCAUCAUGGCCCUUACGCCCAGGGCUACACACGUGCUACAAUGGCGCAUACAGAGGGUAGCUACAGGGUAACCUGAUGCCAAUCUCAAAAAGUGCGUCUCAGUUCGGAUUGAGGUCUGCAACUCGACCUCAUGAAGUCGGAAUCGCUAGUAAUCGCAUAUCAGCCAUGAUGCGGUGAAUACGUUCCCGGACCUUGUACACACCGCCCGUCAAGCCAUGGGAGUUGGGAGGACCUGAAGAUGGUUGCCGCGAGGCGCUAUUUAGGGUUAACCAGCGACUGGGGCUAAGUCGU